rnacentral:ncRNA from 1 species
GCUAGGUCUGUGGUUGAAAGUCGAUGCUAGUCGCAGGCAAAACGAUCCACGUAAGCUAGACAAAGUUCUAGGGAGCAUGGUGCGGUAUAGAAGUAAGCCCUGCCAGCUAUAAAAGUUGAGAGGAUUAGUAGUGAGAAGUUAAAUCUGGGUAGCGAAAGUUCCAGCAGGCGAGUGUGGGGUCAAAGACCAGGUCAGCUAG